rnacentral:rRNA from 1 species
AACGAACGCUGGCGGCAGGCUUAACACAUGCAAGUCGAGCGAGACCUCCGGGUCUAUCGGCGGACGGGUGAGUAACGCGUGGGAACGUGCCCUUCUCUACGGAAUAGCUCCGGGAAACUGGGAGUAAUACCGUAUACGCCCUUUGGGGGAAAGAUUUAUCGGAGAAGGAUCGGCCCGCGUUGGAUUCGGUAGUUGGUGGGGUAAUGGCCCACCAAGCCGACGAUCCAUAGCUGGUUUGAGAGGAUGAUCAGCCACACUGGGACUGAGACACGGCCCAGACUCCUACGGGAGGCAGGAGUGGGGAAUCUUGGACAAUGGGGGCAACCCUGAUCUAGCCAUGCCGCGUGAGUGAUGAAGGCCUUAGGGUUGUAAAGCUCUUUCAGCUGGGAAGAUAAUGACGGUACCAGCAGAAGAAGCCCCGGCUAACUCCGUG